rnacentral:rRNA from 1 species
GAUGAACGCUGGCGGCGUGCCUAAUACAUGCAAGUCGAGCGAACAGACGAGGAGCUUGCUCCUCUGACGUUAGCGGCGGACGGGUGAGUAACACGUGGAUAACCUACCUAUAAGACUGGGAUAACUUCGGGAAACCGGAGCUAAUACCGGAUAAUAUAUUGAACCGCAUGGUUCAAUAGUGAAAGACGGUUUUGCUGUCACUUAUAGAUGGAUCCGCGCCGCAUUAGCUAGUUGGUAGGUAACGGCUUACCAAGGCAACGAUGCGUAGCCGACCUGAGAGGGUGAUCGGCCACACUGGAACUGAGACACGGUCCAGACUCCUACGGGAGGCAGCAGUAGGGAAUCUUCCGCAAUGGGCGAAAGCUUGACGGAGCAACGCCGCGUGAGUGAUGAAGGUCUUCGGAUCGUAAAACUCUGUUAUUAGGGAAGAACAAAUGUGGAAGUAACUAUGCACGUCUUGACGGUACCCAAUCAGAAAGCCACGGCUAACUACGUG